UCGGCGCAACAUCUGUGGUCAUAUGCCGGAGAGAGACAGAAGGGGUAGGAAUUAUAGGAGAAGGGAAAGUUUGGUUUAGUCGGCGCAACAUCUGUGAUCAUAUGCCGGAGAGAGACAUAAGGGAAAGGAAUUAUAGGAGAAGGGAAAGUUUUGUUUAGUGGGCGCAACAUCUGUGGUCAUAUGCCGGAGAGAGACAGAAGGGGAAGGAAUUAUAGGAGAAGGGAAAGUUUUGUUUAGUCGGCGCAACAUCUGUGGUCAUAUGCCGGAGAGAGACAGAAGGGGAAGGAAUUAUAGGAGAAGGGAAAGUUUUGUUUAGUGGGCGCAACAUCUGUGGUCAUAUGCCGGAGAGAGACAGAAGGGGUAGGAAUUAUAGGAGAAGGGAAAGUUUUGUUUAGUGGGCGCAACAUCUGUGGUCAUAUGCCGGAGAGAGACAGAAGGGGUAGGAAUUACAGGAGAAGGGAAAGUUUUGUUUAGUGGGCGCAACAUCUGUGGUCAUAUGCCGGAGAGAGACAGAAGGGGAAGGAAUUAUAGGAGAAGGGAAAGUUUUGUUUAGUCGGCGCAACAUCUGUGGUCAUAUGCCGGAGAGAGACAGAAGGGGAAGGAAUUAUAGAAGGGAAAGUUUUGUUUAGUGGGCGCAACAUCUGUGGUCAUAUGCCGGAGAGAGACAGAAGGGGAAGGAAUUAUAGAAGGGAAAGUUUCGUUUAGUGGGCGCAACAUCUGUGGUCAUACGCCGGAGAGAGACAGAAGGGGAAGGAAUUAUAGGAGAAGGGAAAGUUUUGUUUAGUGGGCGCAACAUCUGUGGUCAUAUGCCGGAGAGAGACAGAAGGGGAAGGAAUUAUAGGAGAAGGGAAAGUUUGGUUUAGUCGGCGCAACAUCUGUGGUCAUAUGCCGGAGAGAGACAGAAGGGGAAGGAAUUAUAGGAGAAGGGAACA